AUACGAAGGGGGCUAGCGUCGCUCGGAAUUACUGGGCGUAAAGGGAGCGUAGGCGGACAUUUAAGUCAGGGGUGAAAUCCCGGGGCUCAACCUCGGAAUUGCCUUUGAUACUGGGUGUCUUGAGAGUGAGAGAGGUAUGUGGAACUCCGAGUGUAGAGGUGAAAUUCGUAGAUAUUCGGAAGAACACCAGUGGCGAAGGCGACAUACUGGCUCAUUACUGACGCUGAGGCUCGAAAGCGUGGGGAGCAAACAGGAUUAGAAACCCUAGUAGUCC
rnacentral:rRNA from 1 species